ACAGUAGCCUCAGUUCGCUGUCACGGAGAAGGAACCUUGGGAGCAUUUGGAGUUAUGGCAACUCCGGAUUCUGUCCAUAUCAGAGAACAGCCAGUUGCAGGAUUUAAUUGCUCGUGUCUAGCGUCCCCGUCUUCCUUCCUCUCUUUAAAUUUCGUGUCUUCGUGUUAUCAUGUACAUACAUGUUUAUAUUCUUGACUAACAUUUUUUAUGGAUUGUAUUUGUAGCACAUUUGUUUCUCUCUUGUGUAGGAACUUAUGGAAAAUAGUUAGUAUGAUGGUAAAUUUAGUCA